UGGGGAAUUUUGGACAAUGGGCGAAAGCCUGAUCCAGCAAUGCCGCGUGUGUGAAGAAGGCCUUCGGGUUGUAAAGCACUUUUGUCCGGAAAGAAAUGGCUCUGGUUAAUACCUGGGGUCGAUGACGGUACCGGAAGAAUAAGGACCGGCUAACUACGUGCCAGCAGCCGCGGUAAUACGUAGGGUCCAAGCGUUAAUCGGAAUUACUGGGCGUAAAGCGUGCGCAGGCGGUUGUGCAAGACCGAUGUGAAAUCCCCGAGCUUAACUUGGGUAUUGCAUUGGUGACUGCACGGCUAGAGUGUGUCAGAGGGGGGUAGAAUUCCACGUGUAGCAGUGAAAUGCGUAGAGAUGUGGAGGAAUACCGAUGGCGAAGGCAGCCCCCUGGGAUAACACUGACGCUCAUGCACGAAAGCGUGGGGAGCAAACAGG
rnacentral:rRNA from 1 species